rnacentral:pre_miRNA from 1 species
AGACACCCUUCUGGGGCAAGACUUGCUUCAGUGAGGCUUUGGUGUUCACUGAGUCUGCCCCCUGAGUGUGUCCCU